GAUGAACGCUAGCGGCAGGCCUAAUACAUGCAAUUCGGACGGGAUUCAGGAGCUUGCUUCUGAUGAGAGUGGCGCACGGGUGCGUAACACGUAUGUAACCUACCUUUAUCAGGGGGAUAGCCUCUCGAAAGAGAGAUUAAGCCCGCAUAAAAUCACAGCACCGCAUUGUGUAAUGAUCAAAUAUUUAUAGGAUAAAGAUGGGCAUGCGGAACAUUAGCUAGAUGGCGGGGUAACGGCCCACCAUGGCGACGAUGUUUAGGGGAUCUGAGAGGAUGGCCCCCCAAACUGGUACUGAGACACGGACCAGACUCCUACGGGAGGCAGCAGUAAGGAAUAUUGGUCAAUGGGCGGAAGCCUGAACCAGCCAUGCCGCGUGCAGGAAGACGGCCCUACGGGUUGUAAACUGCUUUUAUACGGGAAUAAACCCAGAUACGUGUAUCUGGCUGAAUGUACUGUAAGAAUAAGGAUCGGCUAACUCCGUG
rnacentral:rRNA from 1 species